UACGUAGGCAGCGAGCGUUGUUCGGAAUUACUAGGCGUAAAGAGUGUGUAGGCGGUGUUCCCAGUCUGUUGUGAAAUCUCCCGGCUUAACUGGGAGGGUGCAGCGGAAACUAGAAUGCUAGAGGGUGGGAGAGGUAAGCGGAAUUCCUGGUGUAGCGGUGAAAUGCGUAGAUAUCAGGAGGAACACCUGUGGUGUAGACAGCUUACUGGACCACUUCUGACGCUGAGACACGAAAGCGUGGGUAGCAAACAGG
rnacentral:rRNA from 1 species